rnacentral:misc_RNA from 1 species
CACCACGCGCCCGCCGCGCGCCGCGCGCACGCCUGCCCGCACGCCGACUGUCAGCAAAGCUUCACGAACAUGAGUUCCCUGUAUAUGCACACGAAGAAAGUACAUAAAAAGAAAGAAAAUGAUCAACCAGCGAAUCCCACGACUAGUGACAAUCAAGAAUUACCAAAAGUAACGUCCGAAAAUUUGUUCAUGGUAAGUGUAAUAAUUAUGGGUUAAAUAAAGCAACUUAUUACACGUGUCUAAAACAUUAGAAAGAUAUUUUAUUUUUAUUGAUUUUAUUUUAUUUAAAACAUCAUCA